CCUACGGGCGGCUGCAGUGAGGAAUAUUGGUCAAUGGGCGCGAGCCUGAACCAGCCAAGUCGCGUGAGGGAUGAAGGUUCUAUGGAUCGUAAACCUCUUUUAUAAGGGAAUAAAGUGUGGGACGUGUCCUAUUUUGUAUGUACCUUAUGAAUAAGGAUCGGCUAACUCCGUGCCAGCAGCCGCGGUAAUACGGAGGAUCCGAGCGUUAUCCGGAUUUAUUGGGGUGAAAGGGGACGUAGGUGGCCUGUUAAGUCAGCGGGGAAAGUCUGUGGCUCAACCUUAGAAUUGCAGUUGAAACUGGGGGGCUUGAGUAUGUUAGAGGCAGGAGGAAUGCGUGGUGUAGCGGUGAAAUGCGUAGAUAUCAGGAAGAACCCCGAGUGCGAAGGCAGCCUGCUAAGCCAUGACUGACGCUGAUGCGCGAAAGCGUGGGGAUCAAACAGGAUUAGAUACCCCUGUAGUC
rnacentral:rRNA from 1 species